rnacentral:lncRNA from 1 species
AUGAAGAAGAAACAAGCCUCACUCUCGGAGCAAAUUCUUGCUUUGAGUAACCCUACUCCUGCAGAAAGUCCAGACGAUUUUUGGGAUGAAAACACAACGGCCAAGGUAGCCGAGUUUGAUGAAGUUGACGAAGAAGUUGCGAGGCCGUCUGCUUUGAGGAAGAAGACCGCUCAUCGGUCUCUGGAUGAAGAUACCAGGUACACGGGUCUCAAGACAUCAAGAAAAAAUUGGUCUUCAUCAGGACAAGGGGAGGAUGACAACAAUGAUUAUGAAGAGGAUGAUGACGAGGAAGGAGAUGAAGUCGAUGAGGAGGAGGAGGAGGAUGAUGAGGAAGAAGACGAUGAGGAUGAAGACGAUGCACUAAUGGAGGAGGAGGAGGAAGAUGAUGAUGAUGAUGAAGAAGAGGAAGACGAAGAAGAUGGUGGUAUUGAGGGUUUCUCUCAAAUCAACGCUUCUGAGGAAGUGGAGAAAGGGAAGGCCGUCCAGUCACAGCUUGGACUAUGGGAUAGCUUCAUGGAGACUCGUAUCAAGCUUCAGAAGGCUCUUCACCUAUCCAACCAGCUCCCUCAGUGUCAGACGUUAGACAGGUUCAUGGAGGAGGAAGACGAUGGCGCAGAGUUGCAAGUUACCCUCAAGCAAAGUGAGAAAGUGCUGACUAGACUCAUGCAGUCCCUUAUCAGUCUCCAGGACACAUUACUAGAACAGAACCCAGAGACACAGCAUGUAAUUCAUGGAGAAACUCCUGGAAAGCAGUCUAUGAAUGCUGAUGAAGAGGACGACGAUGAGGAAAUACCUAGCGAUACUGACGAUGAAGGGGAGGAUGAAAAACCAAAGACUCCCGCCUCGGAGGUCGAACGAAAAUCACUGAAACGGAAAUUGGAUCCUUCAGAAUUUGGAGAGCACCUCGCUAAACAUCACAAAAACUUUGAAUCGUUCAGGAGCAAUACCAUUCAAAAGUGGUAUGAAAAGACAAGAUUAUCAACCGGAAAGUUAAAUAAAAAGUCCUUUAGUGGCUUUGAGAGGUCAGCCUUGCUACAGAUCCAGCAGAUAUUGCAAGAUCAGAACCGACUUGUGCAGAGGACUCAGCUGAAGAGGUCAGAGUUCACGGUGCUGGGUCAAAGGUUACAGGUGGAGAGCAGAGAAGAGGAAAGCGGAGAUGAGGAAACACAGGACAUACCUGAAACAGCUAACCAGCAUCUUAAGAAUUACGACCCAGAAAUCUUUGAUGAUGAUGACUUCUACCAUCAGCUAUUACGGGAGUUAAUAGAGAGAAGAACAAGCUCAACAACUGAUCCUAUCCAGCUUACUAGGCAAUGGUUACAAGUUCAGAAGCUAAGAACCAAGGUGAAAAGAAAGGUUGAUACUAAAGCAAGCAAAGGUAGAAAAGUCAGGUAUGAUGUUCACCAGAAGCUUGUGAGUUUCAUGGCACCUGAAGACACUUCACCCAUGUUACCAGAAGCCAGGAUGGAGCUCUUCAAAUCCAUCUUUGGUCAGAGUAUAGCAGAGGAGGAGACAGCAAGAUAACACAAAAUCAUCUCAUGGACUAUUAUCCUUUUAAUACAAGAGAGUGAUUAACAACUAUGAAGAUGGACAGAGCCUAGCAUAGCACACACAUGAACAUUUCAUUGGCAGUUAUCCUUAAAAUAAGAGAGAUGAAUAACUAUGAAGAUGGCAAGUCUUACAGCUGACAGUGUGUUCAAGCUUCCAAUACUCUGUGAACUUACAUGUACAGUGUAUACUCCACUCGGAUUGCAUAUUGCUGUCAUAGUAUUAUAGAUUGGUAAACAAAGGCUCUGGCAAAUAUACUGUCUCUUCAACGAAUGAUUCCAUCAUCGCUACACGAGCUCUAGCUUCAUGAAAGGAAUUACACAGCCAUCCGUAGUAGCCUGCAGGUUGCAGAAUUACACAGGCAUGAGCUGUGUGGAGAUUGUAUAAAAGAACUGUUAUAAUUUGGCAUAUAAUUAAUUGUUCUGUCAUUUGUGUACCGGUAUGUUCUAUCUUGCUUCUGUUCCUUUGUUGAUAAUGCAUAUAUGCUUUUCUAUGAUCUCUCUUGUUUGUUUGUUUUUGUUUAACAAGUGCACUCUUGAGUACCGGUAUUUGAAUUUGAGUGGAUUUAGCCCUUACAAAUCUCAUAAAUUAUUUUCAUUAUUACAUAACAUAUGUUUUAUGUUCACUUUGGCCAAAGUCCCUUAGAAUUAAUUUAAAUGAUAUAUCCCCCUGAAAAGAAAUAAGAGGUAGCUUGUUAUUUUCAUCAAUUAUUUGUGUGCAGUUGUGCAUGGGAGGGGAAAAUGAACUCCGUCUUUACCAUCAACUAAUGAGGAGAGCCCCCUACAGAAAACCAGUUUCUUUUGGUAAUCCCAAUGCAUUAGUUGAUGGCUUUUUUCUGUUAUUGUAUUUAUUACGCAUCAUGCCAUUAACAAGUGGCAGUUCACAUGUAGAAAUUGAAUAAAUUGUACUUGUAUUUUAUCAUC